rnacentral:lncRNA from 1 species
AAAAGACUUUAUUCUCCUAGUCCUUCCCAGAGUUCCAAAGAGAAAGAACAAGAGAAAUUAGGAAAAGUGAGGGAUCACAGAAACAAAGGAAAAGCAGUUAAAUAAGAAAAGUUAUGGCAAUAGUACAGCAAUAAAAUAGCCCUAGUUCCUCCUCAAGGCAUAUACACACAAUUUGACACACACCUUCGAGCUGUUCUGCAGAAACUACGACCACCUCCAUCCAGGAGGAGGACACACUAGCACUGACCCCAGGCUGGUUGGAACCAGAAGGAUGAUGAUGAAGAUUCCUGGAGCACCACGCUGUCACCUCCCCACCAACCAAUCAGAAGAAAGUCAUGCACCCUGCAGCCCUCACCCAAACGUUGCCCUUAAAAAUUCUUCCCUGAAGGAGUUCCCCUUGUGGCUCAGCAGAAAUGAAUUUGACUAGUAUCCAUGAGGACACGGGUUCAAUUCCUGGCCUCGCUCAGUGGGUUAAGGAUCUGGCAUUGCUGUGGGCAGCUGUAGCUCCGAUUUGACCCUUAGCCUGGGAACUUCCACCUGCCACGGGUACAUCCCUAAAAAGACAAAAAAAAAAAAAAAAAUUCUUCCCUGAAGACCAUCAGGGUGUUUCUCCAAAUCAACCCUUACUUUACUGCAAAUGUCAGCUAUCAGGGUUUGGCUCUCUGAACCACAGCACAAGAUUGCUUGCUGGGUAACAAAAGGAUAAAGGAACUUCUCAUGUGCUUUUUGCUAAAGUUAGGCCAGACCAAAAUUGCAACACACGCUUCAGUUACUCUGAGGUUAUAAGCCAAUGGUGAGGGGUGUGGAAAAUGGGCUGAUUUAUAAAUACCACUUCGUGGUAUAUGAAAAAUGUAUCAUCAGUGUUUUUACCUAUAAAUUAAUAGGGCCUUCUAUUAAGAUACUGUGAUGAUUUUUUUUUUUUUUUUUUUUUUUGGCUGUGCGUGCAGCAUGCAGAAGUUCCCAGGCCAGGGAUGGAACUUGCACCACAGCAGCAACCCAAGCCACAGCAGUGAUGAUGGCAAGUCCUUAACCCGUUGGCCACCGGAGUACUCUGAAUCCUGUUUUAAUUAUAAAGAUAUACUUAAACCUGGAAAGAGUAGAGUAUGUAUACAUACACACUUAAGGAAGGGUCAUUUUGAUUUACAAGUUGAAGUUUGGUUACCAGUCUUUAUAUACUCUAUUUUAAUGUACCAUUACCUGCAAAAACAAAAUAGGUCACGUCUUUCCAAAUAAACAAAAGGAGACAUUCAGGAAACAAAAGGAGACAUUCUUGAAACUUGGCAUUAUUCCUUCUCCCAAUUCAGAGUAAGGUCCAAAAG